rnacentral:rRNA from 1 species
UACGUAGGGUGCGAGCGUUAAUCGGAAUUACUGGGCGUAAAGCGUGCGCAGGCGGUGAUGUAAGACAGAUGUGAAAUCCCCGGGCUCAACCUGGGACCUGCAUUUGUGACUGCAUCGCUAGAGUACGGUAGAGGGGGAUGGAAUUCCGCGUGUAGCAGUGAAAUGCGUAGAUAUGCGGAGGAACACCGAUGGCGAAGGCAAUCCCCUGGGCCUGUACUGACGCUCAUGCACGAAAGCGUGGGGAGCAAACAGG